rnacentral:rRNA from 1 species
UCCGUAGGGGUAACCUGCGGAGGGAUCAUUACCGAGUUUACAACUCCCAAACCCCUGUGAACAUACCACUUGUUGCCUCGGCGGAUCAGCCCGCUCCCGGUAAAACGGGACGGCCCGCCAGAGGACCCCUAAACUCUGUUUCUAUAUGUAACUUCUGAGUAAAACCAUAAAUAAAUCAAAACUUUCAACAACGGAUCUCUUGGUUCUGGCAUCGAUGAAGAACGCAGCAAAAUGCGAUAAGUAAUGUGAAUUGCAGAAUUCAGUGAAUCAUCGAAUCUUUGAACGCACAUUGCGCCCGCCAGUAUUCUGGCGGGCAUGCCUGUUCGAGCGUCAUUUCAACCCUCAAGCACAGCUUGGUGUUGGGACUCGCGUUAAUUCGCGUUCCUCAAAUUGAUUGGCGGUCACGUCGAGCUUCCAUAGCGUAGUAGUAAAACCCUCGUUACUGGUAAUCGUCGCGGCCACGCCGUUAAACCCCAACUUCUGAAUGUUGACCUCGGAUCAGGUAGGAAUCCCGCUGAACUUAAGCAUAUCAAGCGCGGAGGGAACGCGAUAC